AGAGUUUGAUUAUGGCUCAGGAUGAACGCUGGCGGCGUGCCUAACACAUGCAAGUCGAACGGAGAUACGAUUUCGGUUGUAUCUUAGUGGCGAACGGGUGAGUAACGCGUGAGCAACCUGACUCUUAGAGGGGGAUAACACUGGGAAACGAGUGCUAAUACCGCAUAAGACCACGACAUGGCAUCAUGACGAGGUCAAAGGAGCAAUCCGCUGAGAGAGGGGCUCGCGUCCCAUUAGAUAGAUGGCGGGGUAACGGCCCACCAUGUCAACGAUGGGUAGCCGAGCUGAGAGGCUGAUCGGCCACACUGGAACUGAGACACGGUCCAGACUCCUACGGGAGGCAGCAGUGGGGAAUAUUGGGCAAUGGGGCCGCAAGCCUGACCCAGCAACGCCGCGUGAGGGAAGAAGGCUUUCGGGUUGUAAACCUCUGUCCUUGGUGACGAAACAAAUGACGGUAGCCAAGGAGGAAGCCCCGGCUAACUACGUGCCAGCCGCCGC
rnacentral:rRNA from 1 species